GUAGCUGGCGGCGUGCCUAAUACAUGCAAGUCGAGCGAAUGGAUUAAGAGCUUGCUCUUAUGAAGUUAGCGGCGGACGGGUGAGUAACACGUGGGUAACCUGCCCAUAAGACUGGGAUAACUCCGGGAAACCGGGGCUAAUACCGGAUAACAUUUUGAACCGCAUGGUUCGAAAUUGAAAGGCGGCUUCGGCUGUCACUUAUGGAUGGACCCGCGUCGCAUUAGCUAGUUGGUGAGGUAACGGCUCACCAAGGCAACGAUGCGUAGCCGACCUGAGAGGGUGAUCGGCCACACUGGGACUGAGACACGGCCCAGACUCCUACGGGAGGCAGCAGUAGGGAAUCUUCCGCAAUGGACGAAAGUCUGACGGAGCAACGCCGCGUGAGUGAUGAAGGCUUUCGGGUCGNAAAACUCUGUUGUUAGGGAAGAANNNUGCUANUUGAAUAANCUGGNACCUUGACGGNACCUAACCANAAAGCCACGGCUANCUACNUG
rnacentral:rRNA from 1 species